AACUCUUGAGCCAAUAACCAGCUUUGUUUCAAAAACCCAAUAUCAGCCAAUACUCUCCUCACCAUCUGAAACCUGAAACGAGUAUAAUGAGAGAACAAAUACUUUAAAUAAACCUCUUCUAUUUUCAAAGCAAAAACAAAAUGACCUUAGAUCCAUUGGUUCCAAACCAAACGGUCCUUCAAUGCCGCCAUCCUCACAGAUUCAGGCACUCCAUUAACCCAACUCCCGCAAAUCUUUCUUCUCCGGCCCUCCAGCGCCAGUGUGUGAGCUGCUUCAUUAACCAAUCGAGGCACAGCAAGGUAAGAUACCUUGUCCAAAUUACCAAAGUGAGGCACCAGAUUAUUCAUCAGUCUCUAAAUAUGUAUUUUAAUUUUUCCUGGAAUGUUCAACGAUCAUAAGGCUUUGUAAAAAUAUUUGUAAUCCUUAUUAAUAGAGGAUAUGUAUAUAGUGUCCUGUAAAUAUUUUGUAUUUAGGGCUCGAUACCCACUCUUAAUAGUGUAUUCCCCAGAACCUUCAUGUUUCCAAACCAACCUAUCCUUCGGACCACUUCCAGAUAUGGGAAUAGAAAGAAUUUGAUCAGCUGUACUCUUAUCAACUAAGUUAUGAACCAGCUUCCUAUUCCAGGUACUAGUCUCCGUCGUAAUUAAUUGAUUAACAGUAGUCCAAGAAGGCCUAAUCACCUGAACUGGAAUUCUAUUAUUCUCUCUUCCAGGUAACCAGGGAUCGUUCCAGAUGUUAAUGCGAUCACCUUUCCCAACC
rnacentral:lncRNA from 1 species